AAUAGAUACCCGGGUAGUCCACGCCGUAAACGAUGAGUGCUAAGUGUUAGGGGUUUCCGCCCCUUAGUGCUGCAGCUAACGCAUUAAGCACUCCGCCUGGGGAGUACGGUCGCAAGACUGAAACUCAAAGGAAUUGACGGGGGCCCGCACAAGCGGUGGAGCAUGUGGUUUAAUUCGAAGCAACGCGAAGAACCUUACCAGGUCUUGACAUCCCAUUGACCGCUAUGGAGACAUAGCUUUCCCUUCGGGGACAGUGGUGACAGGUGGUGCAUGGUUGUCGUCAGCUCGUGUCGUGAGAUGUUGGGUUAAGUCCCGCAACGAGCGCAACCCUUGUUCUUAGUUGCCAUCAUUUAGUUGGGCACUCUAAGGAGACUGCCGGUGACAAACCGGAGGAAGGUGGGGAUGACGUCAAAUCAUCAUGCCCCUUAUGACCUGGGCUACACACGUGCUACAAUGGACGGUACAAACGGUUGCCAACCCGCGAGGGGAGCUAAUCCGAUAAACCGUUCUCAGUUCGGAUUGUAGGCUGCAACUCGCCUACA
rnacentral:rRNA from 1 species